rnacentral:rRNA from 1 species
GACGAACGCUGGCGGCGUGCUUAACACAUGCAAGUCGAACGCUGUAGACCUGGCUUUUGUUGGGUUGGAUGAGUGGCGAACGGGUGAGUAACACGUGAGUAACCUGCCCUCUUCUUUGGGAUAACGCCCGGAAACGGGUGCUAAUACUGGAUAUUCACUGAUCUUCGCAUGGGGGUUGGUGGAAAGGUUUGUUCUGGUGGGGGAUGGGCUCGCGGCCUAUCAGCUUGUUGGUGGGGUGAUGGCCUACCAAGGCUUUGACGGGUAGCCGGCCUGAGAGGGUGACCGGUCACAUUGGGACUGAGAUACGGCCCAGACUCCUACGGGAGGCAGCAGUGGGGAAUAUUGCACAAUGGGCGAAAGCCUGAUGCAGCGACGCCGCGUGAGGGAUGGAGGCCUUCGGGUUGUAAACCUCUUUCGCUCAUGGUCAAGCCGCAACUGUGGGUUGUGGUGAGGGUAGUGGGUAAAGAAGCGCCGGCUAACUACGUG